rnacentral:rRNA from 1 species
AUUGAACGCUGGCGGCAUGCCUAACACAUGCAAGUCGAACGAGUGGCGGACGGGAGAGUCAUGUCUGGGAACCUCCCUGAUGGAUGGGGUUAACUACUGGAACCGGUAGCUAUUACCGCAUACCAUCCACUUUGCCCAGAUGGGAUUAGCUUGUUGGUGGGGUAACGGCUCACCAAGGCGACGAUCCCUAGCUGGUCUGAGAGGAUGACCGGCCACACUGGAACUGAGACACGGUCCAGACUCCUACGGGAGGCAGCAGUGGGGAAUAUUGCACAAUGGGCGAAAGCCUGAUGCAGCAAUGCCGCGUGUAUGAAGAAGGUCUUCGGGUUGUAAAGUACUGUCAGCGGGGAGGCGUUACCCGCAGAAGAAGCACCGGCUAACUCCGUGCCAGCAGCCGCGGUAAUUC